rnacentral:lncRNA from 1 species
GUUGUCUUAUUGGCACUCACACCACAUCUUCCUAUAUCUAUCUGAUUAAUGUACCAACAAAUGAACGAAGAAUAGAAAUGAUUUACAGUCACAAAAAGUAAAAUAACAAAAAAUACCGAACUCCGAGGAAAAUUCAAAAUAGAAAGUCGAUAAUCAAAUGGCAAAAUCAAAAGCUCAAAAUACAUCAAACGACCGAGUAUUAACUGCUUUAUUCCUGACUUGGUAAAGGCGUUCUUGAGUAGAAAAUGGUGCAUGAACGCUGGUUUUAUAGCUAGCUAAAUGAGGGACGAAAAAUAUCAAAGGGACAGUCAACUCUCACUUGUACGG